rnacentral:rRNA from 1 species
AACAAGUACCGUGAGGGAAAGAUGGAAAGAACUUUGAAAAGAGAGUGAAAAGCACUUGAAACCGUCACGGGGGAAGCGGAUUGCGUGAGUGAUGGUGUCGCUUGUUCAGCGCUUUAUUGCGUGCAUUCUGGCGGCGCCGUGCCGGCGUGGCUGGCUGGACUGUGAUUUUGACAGUCUCGGCUGGUGAGGGCUCCCUCGUAUGAGGUGAGGACGCGGGCAAAAUGACGCAAUACGACCCGUCUUGAAACACGGACCAAGGAGUCUAGCACGGCUGCGAGUCGAAGAGUGAUUAAACUCAAGGGCGCAGUGAAAGCGAAAUUAUAAGCAAAUUGGGGAGGCGUUGCGUUUUUAACAAAAUGUCCUACCUCGAGCAUUUGUGCUGGGACCCGAAAGAUGGUGAACUAUGCCGGAGUAGGGCAAAGCCAGAGGAAACUCUGGUGGAGGCUCGUAGCGAUGCUGACGUGCAAAUCGCUCGUCGAACUUGGGUAUAGGGGCGAAAGACUAAUCGAACCAUCUAGUAGCUGGUUCCCUCCGAAGUUUCUCUCAGGAUAGCGGGCCGACACGCGUUUGUUGUUUUGUGCGGUAAAGCGAAUGAUUAGUGCAUUUGGGGUACGAAGUACUUCGGGCGAUUCUCAAACUUUAAAUGCGCAAGGGGGUGGCUGCUUAAUUGAGCCUACUCUUUGAAAAACGUCGGCCCUGUGGGCCACUUUUGGUAAGC